rnacentral:piRNA from 1 species
UGCAAACCAGUGCAAACCUUAUUUUACAGAG